rnacentral:lncRNA from 1 species
CACAGAGGGCAGAGAGCUGGGUUUGCCGAGCUCUGGACCGGGUGAUCUGACAUCAGCUGCCUGCCGCUGUCGUGUCGUCCCUGCUCACAGCAGUCCUCAGCCACUCGGCUUAUGAAAGUGUCAUGACUUUCUGCCUCCAGAGCAACCAAGCAAAUUUCUUCAGAAUCUGGACACUGGGUUUCUCAAUUCGAUGGCCUCAGGAAAGAUACGAACUAACUAUCCUCUUUACAUCUGUAAUGGAUGGGAGAAGAGUGGUUGGAAAAUCCAGUGGAAAUAAAAUAUUUGCUCUGCUGAAGAGGGAAAAUGGGGAGGAAAAUAGAAGAAGAAGAAGGAGAAGAAGAAGAAGAAGAGGAAGAGGAAUAAGAAGAGGAAAAGGAAGAAAAGGAAGAGGAAGAGGAAGAAGAAGGAGGAGAGGAAGAAAAACGCCUGCGGGCACUGCUGGCCAGUGUGGUCCAGUGUUUGAGAUUGCAGAGCUCACCGCUUGGAGGCAAAGAAGUCUAAAAUCUGCUUGCAACUGA